rnacentral:ncRNA from 1 species
AUAAAGAUAUGUUGGAAUAAUCGGGAAACAGAUGAGAAUUCUGUGCUGCCCCCGCAACGGUAAGUAAAUGUAAAUCAAAAUCAAUUAUGCCACUGCAUCUGCUAAUGUGGGAAGGGGGUUUUGAAUGGGUUUAACCUAGUUUACCAGCCCGGAGACCGGCCUUUGAGUAU